rnacentral:rRNA from 1 species
UUUAAAGAGAGUUUGAUCCUGGCUCAGGACGAACGCUGGCGGCGUGCCUAAUACAUGCAAGUCGAACGAACGGAGGAAGAGCUUGCUCUUCCAAAGUUAGUGGCGGACGGGUGAGUAACACGUGGGCAACCUGCCUGUAAGUUGGGGAUAACUCCGGGAAACCGGGGCUAAUACCGAAUGAUAAAGUGUGGCGCAUGCCACGCUUUUGAAAGAUGGUUUCGGCUAUCGCUUACAGAUGGGCCCGCGGUGCAUUAGCUAGUUGGUAGGGUAAUGGCCUACCAAGGCAACGAUGCAUAGCCGACCUGAGAGGGUGAUCGGCCACACUGGGACUGAGACACGGCCCAGACUCCUACGGGAGGCAGCAGUAGGGAAUCUUCCGCAAUGGACGAAAGUCUGACGGAGCAACGCCGCGUGUAUGAAGAAGGUUUUCGGAUCGUAAAGUACUGUUGUUAGAGAAGAACAAGGAUAAGAGUAACUGCUUGUCCCUUGACGGUAUCUAACCAGAAAGCCACGGCUAACUACGUGCCAGCAGCCGCGGUAAUACGUAGGUGGCAAGCGUUGUCCGGAUUUAUUGGGCGUAAAGCGCGCGCAGGCGGUCUUUUAAGUCUGAUGUGAAAGCCCCCGGCUUAACCGGGGAGGGUCAUUGGAAACUGGAAGACUGGAGUGCAGAAGAGGAGAGUGGAAUUCCACGUGUAGCGGUGAAAUGCGUAGAUAUGUGGAGGAACACCAGUGGCGAAGGCGACUCUCUGGUCUGUAACUGACGCUGAGGCGCGAAAGCGUGGGGAGCAAACAGGAU